GAUGAACGCUGGCGGCAUGCCUAAUACAUGCAAGUCGAACGAGAGGAAGGAAAGCUUGCUUUUCUGAAUCUAGUGGCGAACGGGUGAGUAACACGUAGGUAACCUGCCCAUGUGCCCGGGAUAACUUCUGGAAACGGAUGCUAAAACCGGAUAGGUAGCAGACAAGCAUUUGACUGCUAUUAAAGUGGCCAAGGACAUGAACAUGGAUGGACCUGCGGUGCAUUAGCUAGUUGGUGAGGUAACGGCCCACCAAGGCGACGAUGCAUAGCCGGCCUUAGAGGUCGGACGGCCACAUUGGGACUGAGAAACGGCCCAAACUCCUACGGGAGGCAGCAGUAGGGAAUUUUCGUCAAUGGGGGGAACCCUGAACGAGCAAUGCCGCGUGAGUGAGGAAGGUCUUCGGAUCGUAAAGCUCUGUUGUAAGAGAAAAACGACAUUCAUAGGGAAUGAUGAGUGAGUGAUGGUAUCUUACCAGAAAGUCACGGCUAACUACGUGCCAGCCGCCGCCGUAA
rnacentral:rRNA from 1 species